rnacentral:rRNA from 1 species
CGGGGGGGGCAAGCGUUGUUCGGAAUUACUGGGCGUAAAGGGUUCGUAGGUAGCUUGCUAAGUCAGACGUGAAAUCCCUCAGCUUAACUGGGGAACUGCGUCUGAGACUGGCGAGCUUGAGUGCAGGAGAGGAACGCGGAAUUCCAGGUGUAGCGGUGAAAUGCGUAGAUAUCUGGAGGAACACCGGUGGCGAAGGCGGCGUUCUGGACUGCAACUGACACUGAGGAACGAAAGCCAGGGGAGCAAACGGGAUUAGAUACCCCGGUAGUCCUGGCCCUAAACGAUGAAUGCUUGGUGUGGCGGGUAUCGAUCCCUGCCGUGCCGAAGUUAACGCGAUAAGCAUUCCGCCUGGGGAGUACGGUCGCAAGGCUG